rnacentral:piRNA from 1 species
UAUAUCUGGUUGUAAUUUUCACACCCAG